AUUGAACGCUGGCGGCAUGCCUUACACAUGCAAGUCGAACGGCAGCACGGGUGCUUGCACCGGGUGGCGAGUGGCGAACGGGUGAGUAAUACAUCGGAACAUGUCCUGUAGUGGGGGAUAGCCCGGCGAAAGCCGGAUUAAUACCGCAUACGAUCUACGGAUGAAAGCGGGGGACCUUCGGGCCUCGCGCUAUAGGGUUGGCCGAUGGCUGAUUAGCUAGUUGGUGGGGUAAAGGCCUACCAAGGCGACGAUCAGUAGCUGGUCUGAGAGGACGACCAGCCACACUGGGACUGAGACACGGCCCAGACUCCUACGGGAGGCAGCAGUGGGGAAUUUUGGACAAUGGGCGAAAGCCUGAUCCAGCAAUGCCGCGUGUGUGAAGAAGGCCUUCGGGUUGUAAAGCACUUUUGUCCGGAAAGAAAUCCUUGGCUCUAAUACAGUCGGGGGAUGACGGUACCGGAAGAAUAAGCACCGGCUAACUACGUG
rnacentral:rRNA from 1 species